rnacentral:sRNA from 1 species
GUUUAGCCCUGAUUGAAGUGACAUCCUUUUUUUGUUUUUUCAAAAAAAGAUAUAACGGAAAGCAGGAAAUAGC